AGGGUUCGAUUCUGGCUCAGGAUGAACGCUAGCGACAGGCUUAACACAUGCAAGUCGAGGGGCAGCAUGGGGGUAGCAAUACCCCUGAUGGCGACCGGCGCACUGGUGAGUAACACGUAUGCAACCUGCCCCGGGCAGGGGGGAUAAUCCGGAGAAAUCUGGUCUAAUACCCCGUACGCCUCCUUCCCGCAUGGUAGGGAGGUGAAAGGAGCGAUCCGGCACGGGAUGGGCAUGCGGCGCAUUAGCUAGUCGGCGGGGUGACGGCCCACCGAGGCGACGAUGCGUAGGGUUCUGAGAGGAAGGUCCCCCACACUGGUACUGAGACACGGACCAGACUCCUACGGGAGGCAGCAGUGAGGAAUAUUGGUCAAUGGACGGAGGUCUGAACCAGCCAAGUCGCGUGAGGGAUGACGGCCCUACGGGUUGUAAACCUCUUUUGCGGGGGAGUAAAGUGAGCCACGUGUGGCUCAUUGCGAGUACCCCGAGAAAAAGCAUCGGCUAAUUCCGUGCCAGCCGCAGC
rnacentral:rRNA from 1 species